CUGGGGUACGUGUGCAGAACAUGCAAGACUGUUGCAUAGCCUCACAUAUGGCUGACUAAACAACUAGAAACCAAGGUGCUCUCAAAAAGAUGGGAGCUCAAGCUGAGAGCUGAGGGGACAAGGAGGAAGUGGCCAAGGAAAUGACCCUUCUCAUUUCCACCCAUGAGUGCUAUGCUUGUCAUCUGGAAGUCUGACCACCAGAAACCUGACAGUGCUUAGCCCAGCAUGAUCUAAAAGAGCUCAACAGAUCAACAUUAUCAGAAGGUAUUAUUUAAAUGACAACUUGCCUAUUAGACUCUCUGCACAUAUGGCCCUUCUAUAGACUGGGCAAGAGAGAUUCAAAGGAGGAGAUAAGAUUUGGUGGCAAAAGAGAUGUCAAAGUCUGAAGAGGUCUGUCCAGAUGAUCAAUCACAUAAUAAAACUAGGCUUCAGGAAAAUGCAAUAAUGGGAAGAAGAAAAAAUACUGGAAGCUUCAGGCGGCCAACCAGAGUAAAACAGUGCAGGUGUCGCAUACGGUAAAGCUGACUUGAAUUAUAAUUAUGGCAACCAUGGACAAGUCACAAUCCACUCCAAACCCGUUUCCUUAGCUAUACAAUGAGGAUAAGGAUACUUAUCUCACAGGAUUCAUAAGGAUUAAUAAGAGAUCAAUUCAUGAGCAACAAGAGCACGGUGCUUAGGGUUAUAAGAAGUGCUCAGGGAAUGGUGGCUUUUCUCAUUGUCAUCACUAACCCACUACAUUCACCAAUUACCCUGACGCAUCCGCUGAUGCCGCUGCUGUCUUUGUCCUUCAUCUUCUGCUUUAUUACAAUACCAGGUUACAGAUAUUCCACAACAAAUACUUUUUGGAUGCAGCAUACAGCUGCACUCUGUACAAAUCCUCGCCUAAAUAUAUGCAAGGAGCUGAGAUUCAUCAAAAUCACAGAAAAGAAGUUAGAGAGAAGCAACCACCUACGGAGAUUUUCAAAUGCAAUUGUGACUUGUGCCUUUGGAAUUCAAGGUACAUGUUUUUUGUUGAUAUUCCAACAUCCCUUCUUCUUGGUAUGUGUGGUCAGUGUUUUUAAACAGAUUUGGUAGAGAGAAGUGAUAAAACAAUAAAAACUCUAAGAGAGUGUGAA